CCUAGCCGCCUGGGCGGGAUUCCCGUCAGCGCAACAAUGGCGCCGACGGCCGGUAUAAAUGCUCCGCCAGCCCCGUCCUGGUCGCUUCGUGCAGCAUCAUGCCUGGAACUGCGAGCAUGUUCCGAGUCAUGCUCGUGCUGCUGUUGGUGGCUUCAGCGCUGACGUGCCUCUCCUGGGCACUGCCAUUGGCCGACGACAAGCUGGACUCCGCCCCCUACGCCAGCGAGUUCAAGAAGGGCGGCUUGCACAAGGGCAAGUGCUGCAAGGGCUAGAAGGCUCUCAGGCAGCCAUGUUGGCUCCCACAAAACGUGUCGAUGCACGGAACAGAAUCUUCACCAAUUAUCCAAAUGUUACUUUAUCGAAGCUUAAAUUUGACUAAUCAAAAAAUUAAAUCAAUACAUCAGUUCUAAAAUUCAAAAUUUUAUGUAAUUUAGUUGCACAUUAAAAUCUUUGAACCCACUGUAAACAA